CUUGCACUGGAAAGAUAAAACAAUGUAUCGAGUGGCGAACGGGUGAGUAACACGUAGGUAACCUACCCUAAAGAGGGGGAUAACAUCUGGAAACAGGGUGCUAAUACCGCAUAACAACAAUAAUCGCAUGAUUAAUGUUUGAAAGAUGGUUUCGGCUAUCACUUUAGGAUGGACCUGCGGCGUAUUAGUUAGUUGGUGAGGUAAUGGCUCACCAAGACGAUGAUACGUAGCCGAACUGAGAGGUUGAUCGGCCACAUUGGGACUGAGACACGGCCCAAACUCCUACGGGAGGCAGCAGUAGGGAAUCUUCCACAAUGGACGAAAGUCUGAUGGAGCAACGCCGCGUGAGUGAAGAAGGUUUUCGGAUCGUAAACUCUGUUGUUGGAGAAGAAUGUAUUUGAUAGUAACUGAUCAGAUAGUGACGGUAUCCAACCAGAAAGCCACGGCUAACUACGUGC
rnacentral:rRNA from 1 species